UUGGUUCCUACAUGGUGGAUCUAAAGUCAGGGCGAGUCAGGAAGGUGUGUGGUCGUACCCAAAACAUCACUCCCUACCAGAGGUUCUACAUCCCAGGUACUAUCACUUAUGUGCAUACAUAUGAACCCUGCACAAUCAUUUGACACAAUCUGUCAGUGGCACUGGCACUAAGCAACAUAAAAUGAAAAUAUGUUUCUUAGCAAGCAACCUUACACAUGACGACACAUGUUCUCGAGAAAGAUGAUUCUUUGAACAUCUGCAUACCUAGUGUGAUUGUAUUAGUAUGACUUGUCGGUCCUUGUGAUCGGUAAGCAAGCAAAAUGUACAUUCAGUUGACCCUGGUUCAUCAAUCAAUUAAUUUGAUAGUUGUGAUUUUCUUGCAACUCUACAGCAAUGGAAGCAGCCUGUACUGGCAAGGGGCAGUAAACUGGCGUUUCAAGUGUUUGUCAAGCUCAAGUUGAUGGAGCAAGCCCUUGUGGAUGAAGGGGGAAGUGGGAGUUGUGUUGUUAGAUAUGGCACAAGUCUGGCUCUCGAGAUUACCAAUGGUGUUAGUAUAGUAGGAUUAUGGAACUUCAUUUAGGAAGUUGGUGCUUCCCUGCUUGCAUUUUAUUUUUUGCAACAUAAGUUUCUAAAGCCCAACUUAUGUUGUGUACUAUUUACAGUCGAAUUUGUCAUUUAUGUUUCUCCAGCUAUGUUUCGAAUUUUGAUUUCAUAUUUUUUGACAACAUA
rnacentral:lncRNA from 1 species